AUUGAACGCUGGCGGCAGGCCUAACACAUGCAAGUCGAGCGAGAGGCGGACGGGUGAGUAAUGUAUGGGGACUGCCCGCUAGAGGGGGAUAACUACUGGAAACGGUGGCUAAUACCGCAUCCUGUAGGAUAACCCAUAGGGGAUUAGCUAGUGGGUAGGGUAAUGGCUUACCUAGGCGACGAUCCAUAGCUGGUCUGGGAGGAUGAUCAGCCACAUUGGGACUGAGACCCGGCCCAGACUCCUACGGAGGCAGCAGUGGGGAAUAUUGCACAAUGGGCGAAAGCCUGAUGCAGACAUGCCGCGUGUAUGAAGAAGGCCCUAGGGUUGUAAAGUACUUUCAGUCGGGAGGCGUUACCGACAGAAGAAGCACCGGCUAACUCCGUGCCAGCAGCCGCGGUAAUAC
rnacentral:rRNA from 1 species